rnacentral:rRNA from 1 species
AAAUUGAAGAGUUUGAUCAUGGCUCAGAUUGAACGCUGGCGGCAGGCCUAACACAUGCAAGUCGAGCGGAAACGAGUUAUCUGAACCUUCGGGGAACGAUAACGGCGUCGAGCGGCGGACGGGUGAGUAAUGCCU